rnacentral:rRNA from 1 species
UACAGAGGCCUCGAGCGUUAGGCGGAAUCACUGGGCUUAAAGCGUGUGUAGGCGGACUUCUAAGUACCUUGUGAACUCCCACGGCUCACCCGUGGAACUGCUCGGUAUACUGGUCGUCUUGAGCCUUCUAGGGGCGAGUGGAACAAAUGGUGGAGCGGUGAAAUGCGUAGAUAUCAUUUGGAACGCCAAUGGUGAAAACAACUCGCUGGGGAAGUGCUGACGCUGAGACACGAAAGCCAGGGGAGCGAACGGG